GGAAUAAACUGCAAAAUCCUUAAGGUUACAAAAGUAUCUGUAAGAUGCCUGAGGUCUGCCUAGACAUUGGAGAGGAUCCAAAGUAUAGUCCAAAGGAUAGUCACCUAUCCUAGGUGAGGGUAGAAGUGACCCAUCAUGAAAAAACAUCAGUCAAAUCCCCAGGAACAAAUUGUGAAAGCCCUAAGCAUCCAAAAGAAUCUGCAGAAUUCUACAGGCCUGCCUAGACGUUGUAGGGGAGGCUUUUGGGUCCUCUGACUCGAAUCUUUGAGUGUUUCUUGGACUCCAGGACAAGUCAGCUUAUUCUCUCAGGGUUUCCUCGGUCUAGAUGAACCACUGUGGUCUCAGGAAUCAUUGAACACUGCUUGGACUCCAGCACAAGGCACCUCAUUCUCUCCGGGAUGCCAUCACCACCCACAGCCUCUGAGACACUGUCUCAACCACAUCUGCACCACUGAGAGGGGAAUCCAAAGUACUGCUCCACAUUGGACUUGCAUUUGUAAUCAUUCCUGCCUUUCCCAG